CUCUCGCCCACGGGAGGAGUCCGGCUUCUCAGCUUCUGCCACGUUUCCACUCCGCCCAAGCAGGGAAAGCGGCUUCAGCGGGAGCAAUGCGCAAGCGCAGAGCCAAGAAACGGCACAUAGUUACGGCGCGUGCGCAUGAGCCAAGUCGACCAUCUUUGAUUAGGGUAUUGCCAAUAUUGCUGCUUUGACGUAAACAACGUAUGCAGUAAUUUCGUAAACCGCACAAGAAACAAAAUACGAAAGAGACGCAGCACAGCCAGGCCACAACCCACACUGCCAAGAGAUGCAGAUGCUGGCGAUGCAGGUCCUUCUUCAUCAAACACCCCUCCACUAAGACGACCAUCACAGGGCUCGGAUAGUCUCCAUAAGAUGCCUACCAAGAGACGCCAGCUUGAGGCUGAAUAUCCACCCGCAUCCUCACCACCACAACGGCGCAUCU